AAGAAAGAAAAGAAAGACAGAAACAAGUUAUUUGCAUUCCUUUUCCAUUACAGAUUGUGUGUGAUAGAAGAAAAGGCGGUACGAGGUUGAUUGUCUGGAUGUGUGGGGGAGGGAGCGAUCAUCUGAAGGCCUCACAACUAAUUUAGAAAACUAAAUCACUGAGUGUGUGUGAGUGCAGUCAAAGGGCACCUGCUUUGCAUGCAGUGCACAAUCGCAGGCUCGCUGCAAAAAUGUCUGUUCGUUUCAGCAUCUAAAACAGGAACGCUGCUGCUGAAGCCUCCUUCCUGUCCAGGUUGCAGUCUGAUCCCACUCGUCUGCUUCAUGAUGUACGUGCCGAGCAGGAAAACAUCCUCAAGCUGCUCUUUUAUCCAU